UAUACAUGCAAGUCGAGCGAAUGGAUUGAGAGCUUGCUCUCAAGAAGUUAGCGGCGGACGGGUGAGUAACACGUGGGUAACCUGCCCAUAAGACUGGGAUAACUCCGGGAAACCGGGGCUAAUACCGGAUAAUAUUUUGAACUGCAUGGUUCGAAAUUGAAAGGCGGCUUCGGCUGUCACUUAUGGAUGGACCCGCGUCGCAUUAGCUAGUUGGUGAGGUAACGGCUCACCAAGGCAACGAUGCGUAGCCGACCUGAGAGGGUGAUCGGCCACACUGGGACUGAGACACGGCCCAGACUCCUACGGGAGGCAGCAGUAGGGAAUCUUCCGCAAUGGACGAAAGUCUGACGGAGCAACGCCGCGUGAGUGAUGAAGGCUUUCGGGUCGUAAAACUCUGUUGUUAGGGAAGAACAAGUGCUAGUUGAAUAAGCUGGCACCUUGACGGUACCUAACCAGAAAGCCACGGCUAACUACGUGCCAGCAGCCGCGGUAAUACGUAGGUGGCAAGCGUUAUCCGGAAUUAUUGGGCGUAAAGCGCGCGCAGGUGGUUUCUUAAGUCUGAUGUGAAAGCCCACGGCUCAACCGU
rnacentral:rRNA from 1 species